rnacentral:misc_RNA from 1 species
GAUGAAGAAACGUAGCGAAAUGCGAUAAGUAAUGCGAAUUGCAGAAUUCCAGUGAGUCAUCGAAUCUUUGAACGCACAUUGCGCCCUUUGGCAUUCCGAAGGGCAUGCCUGUCCGAGCGUCAUUAUCACCCCUCAAGCCCCCGGCUUGGUGUUGGAGUGAGUCCGGCUUCACCCCUGGACCUCCCAAAGACAAUGACGGCGGCCUCGUAGGAUCCCCCGGUACACUGAGCUUUUCACGGAGCACGUAUCGAUGGGCCUGCGGGGCGAACGGUCUCCCUCCGUAAAGGAGAAACUUUUUUCUAAAAGGUUGACCUCGGAUCAGGUAGGAAUACCCGCUGAACUUAAGCAUAUCAAUAAGCGGAGGA